GACAGAGGUGCCGAGCGUUAGGCGGAAUCACUGGGCUUAAAGCGUGUGUAGGCGGAUCUGUAAGUACCUUGUGAAAUCCCACGGCUCAACCGUGGAACUGCUUGGUAUACUGCGGGUCUUGAGCCACCUAGGGGCAAGUGGAACAAACGGUGGAGCGGUGAAAUGCGUAGAUAUCGUUUGGAACGCCAAUGGUGAAAACAACUUGCUGGGGGUGUGCUGACGCUGAGACACGAAAGCCAGGGGGCAAACGGG
rnacentral:rRNA from 1 species